GAUUAAAAAGUGAAGGUCACAUUUGGUUUCGGCCCAAAAAUUCGGUUAAUAAACCUUUAAUCU
rnacentral:tRNA from 1 species